rnacentral:rRNA from 1 species
UUUUGAAACAGAAAGACCCUAUGAAGCUUUACUGUAGCCUGGAAUUGUGUUCGGGCUUCGCUUGCGCAGGAUAGGUGGGAAGGCGAUGAAAUAUUCCCUUGUGGGGAAUAUGGAGCUCAACGGUGAGAUACCACUCUGGCGAAGCUAGAAUUCUAACCCAUGAACCCGUCAUCCGGUCAGGGAACAGUUUCAGGUGGGCAGUUUGACUGGGGCGGUCGCCUCCUAAAAAGUAACGGAGGCGCGCAAAGGUUCUCCUCAGCACGGUUGGAAACCGUGCCGGUCGAGUGUAAAGGCAUAAGAGAGCUUGACUGCGAGAGAUACAACUCAAGCAGGGACGAAAGUCGGCCUUAGUGAUCCGACGGCACAGCAUGGAAUGGCUCGUCGC